UGGGGAAUAUUGGACAAUGGGCGCAAGCCUGAUCCAGCCAUGCCGCGUGAGUGAUGAAGGCCUUAGGGUUGUAAAGCUCUUUCGCCGACGAAGAUAAUGACGGUAGUCGGAGAAGAAGCCCCGGCUAACUUCGUGCCAGCAGCCGCGGUAAUACGAAGGGGGCUAGCGUUGUUCGGAAUCACUGGGCGUAAAGCGCACGUAGGCGGAUUGUUAAGUCAGGGGUGAAAGCCUGGAGCUCAACUCCAGAACUGCCCUUGAUACUGGCAAUCUCGAGUCCGGAAGAGGUAAGUGGAACUGCGAGUGUAGAGGUGAAAUUCGUAGAUAUUCGCAAGAACACCAGUGGCGAAGGCGGCUUACUGGUCCGAUACUGACGCUGAGGUGCGAAAGCGUGGGGAGCAAAACAGGAUUAGAUACCCCUGGUAGUCCACGCCGUAAAACGAUGGAGGCUAGCCGUUGGCGAGCAUGCUCGUCAGUGGCGCAGCUAACGCAUUAAGCCUCCCGCCUGGGGAGUACGGUCGCAAGAUUAAAAACUUAAAUGAAUUGACGGGGGUCAUAGCUGUUUCCU
rnacentral:rRNA from 1 species